rnacentral:rRNA from 1 species
AUUGAACGCUGGCGGCAGGCCUAACACAUGCAAGUCGAACGAGCGGCGGACGGGUGAGUAAUGUAUGGGGAACUGCCCGAUGGAGGGGGAUAACUACUGGAAACGGUGGCUAAUACCGCAUACUAUCAGAUGAACCCAUAUGGGAUUAGCUAGUAGGUGGGGUAAAGGCUCACCAAGGCGACGAUCCCUAGCUGGUCUGAGAGGAUGACCAGCCACACUGGGACUGAGACACGGUCCAGACUCCUACGGGAGGCAGCAGUAGGGAAUCUUCCGCAAUGGACGAAAGUCUGAUCGAGCAACGCCGCGUGAAUGAAGAAGGUUUUCGGAUUGUAAAGCACUGUCGUUAGAGAAGCGGUAUCUGCCGAGAAAGCCACGGCUAACUACGUGCCAGCAGCCGCGGUAAUUC